CGAACCGACUAAUGUUGAAAAAUUAGCGGAUGAUCUGUGGCUGGGGGUGAAAGGCCAAUCAAACCGGGAGAUAGCUGGUUCUCCCCGAAAGCUAUUUAGGUAGCGCCUCGUGAAUUCAUCUCCGGGGGUAGAGCACUGUUUCGGCUAGGGGGCCAUCCCGGCUUACCAACCCGAUGCAAACUGCGAAUACCGGAGAAUGUUAUCACGGGAGACACACGGCGGGUGCUAACGUCCGUCGUGAAGAGGGAAACAACCCAGACCGCCAGCUAAGGUCCCAAAGUCAUGGUUAAGUGGGAAACGAUGUGGGAAGGCCCAGACAGCCAGGAUGUUGGCUUAGAAGCAGCCAUCAUUUAAAGAAAGCGUAAUAGCUCACUGGUCGAGUCGGCCUGCGCGGAAGAUGUAACGGGGCUAAACCAUGCACCGAAGCUGCGGCAGCGAACGUAUCACCCAAGACAACUUUACGGAGUUGACGAUUGACGGAGCGAAGCGACGUCAAAGCGUUCAUUAAAGUCGAGUUGGCUUAGGGAUACGUUCGUUGGGUAGGGGAGCGUUCUGUAAGCCUGUGAAGGUGUGUCGUGAGGCAUGCUGGAGGUAUCAGAAGUGCGAAUGCUGACAUAAGUAACGAUAAAGCGGGUGAAAAGCCCGCUCGCCGGAAGACCAAGGGUUCCUGUCCAACGUUAAUCGGGGCAGGGUGAGUCGACCCCUAAGGCGAGGCCGAAAGGCGUAGUCGAUGGGAAACGGGUUAAUAUUCCCGUACUUGGUGUUACUGCGAAGGGGGGACGGAGAAGGCUAUGUUGGCCGGGCGACGGUUGUCCCGGUUUAAGCGUGUAGGUGUGUGUUCCAGGUAAAUCCGGUUCACUUUAACACUGAGGCGUGACGACGAGGCACUACGGUGCUGAAGCAACAAAUGCCCUGCUUCCAGGAAAAGCCUCUAAGCAUCAGGUAACAUCAAAUCGUACCCCAAACCGACACAGGUGGUCAGGUAGAGAAUACCAAGGCGCUUGAGAGAACUCGGGUGAAGGAACUAGGCAAAAUGGUGCCGUAACUUCGGGAGAAGGCACGCUGACACGUAGGUGAAGUGAUUUACUCAUGGAGCUGAAGUCAGUCGAAGAUACCAGCUGGCUGCAACUGUUUAUUAAAAACACAGCACUGUGCAAACACGAAAGUGGACGUAUACGGUGUGACGCCUGCCCGGUGCCGGAAGGUUAAUUGAUGGGGUCAGCGCAAGCGAAGCUCCUGAUCGAAGCCCCGGUAAACGGCGGCCGUAACUAUAACGGUCCUAAGGUAGCGAAAUUCCUUGUCGGGUAAGUUCCGACCUGCACGAAUGGCGUAAUGAUGGCCAGGCUGUCUCCACCCGAGACUCAGUGAAAUUGAACUCGCUGUGAAGAUGCAGUGUACCCGCGGCAAGACGGAAAGACCCCGUGAACCUUUACUAUAGCUUGACACUGAACAUUGAGCCUUGAUGUGUAGGAUAGGUGGGAGGCUUUGAAGUGUGGACGCCAGUCUGCAUGGAGCCGACCUUGAAAUACCACCCUUUAAUGUUUGAUGUUCUAACGUGGACCCGUAAUCCGGGUUGCGGACAGUGUCUGGUGGGUAGUUUGACUGGGGCGGUCUCCUCCUAAAGAGUAACGGAGGAGCACGAAGGUUGGCUAAUCCUGGUCGGACAUCAGGAGGUUAGUGCAAUGGCAUAAGCCAGCUUGACUGCGAGCGUGACGGCGCGAGCAGGUGCGAAAGCAGGUCAUAGUGAUCCGGUGGUUCUGAAUGGAAGGGCCAUCGCUCAACGGAUAAAAGGUACUCCGGGGAUAACAGGCUGAUACCGCCCAAGAGUUCAUAUCGACGGCGGUGUUUGGCACCUCGAUGUCGGCUCAUCACAUCCUGGGGCUGAAGUAGGUCCCAAGGGUAUGGCUGUUCGCCAUUUAAAGUGGUACGCGAGCUGGGUUUAGAACGUCGUGAGACAGUUCGGUCCCUAUCUGCCGUGGGCGCUGGAGAACUGAGGGGGGCUGCUCCUAGUACGAGAGGACCGGAGUGGACGCAUCACUGGUGUUCGGGUUGUCAUGCCAAUGGCACUGCCCGGUAGCUAAAUGCGGAAGAGAUAAGUGCUGAAAGCAUCUAAGCACGAAACUUGCCCCGA
rnacentral:rRNA from 1 species